UUUCCUACGGGAGGCAGCAGUGGGGGAUAUUGCACAAUGGGGGGAACCCUGAUGCAGCGACGCCGCGUGGGUGAAGAAGCGCCUCGGCGCGUAAAGCCCUGUCAGCAGGGAAGAAAAUGACGGUACCUGAAGAAGAAGCCCCGGCUAACUACGUGCCAGCAGCCGCGGUAAUACGUAGGGGGCAAGCGUUAUCCGGAUUUACUGGGUGUAAAGGGAGCGUAGACGGCGAUGCAAGCCAGAUGUGAAAGCCCGGGGCUCAACCCCGGGACUGCAUUUGGAACUGUGUGGCUGGAGUGUCGGAGAGG
rnacentral:rRNA from 1 species